AAGCACUAUUGUGAGGUUAGAUUGGAUACUUUUUCAUUUAACUGAAUUUUCAGUUUAGCUUAACGAACUAAACGUUUAUGUGCAGGUACUGGACAUUGUGGACAAGUUGUUCGUUACAAUGUUCGACUCAUUGAAUGCGAGUUGCAAGAAAGAACUUGAAGCUAUUCGAAGACAAUACCCCUUUGAACCUUUAAAGUACUUGAGAAAGACCUUGUGGCUUACUUUUCAAGAAGAUGUUCAAAUGCACAAGGUGAGGAAAAAAUUUUCGGCAGCUAAAUAGCUGCCCAUAAAAAAAAAGGGAACAAAUAGAGUAGCAACAUAUCGGUUCAUUGGCACUUCUAUAUCAUGGCUGUAAAAGUAGGACAAUGAGUUCUCUUGCUGAUUUUUUGUUUGUUGCUUUUAAAUGAAACUGAUUGUUUGUGGUAGCACUCCUCUUACCUGAUGAUUUGUUCUGUUGGAAGAGGAACCGCAAGAAAGUGAUAUUUACAACUAUAUGCCGUGCACGUGUACAUUGGGGGCUGAUUUGUUCUUGGCUUUUGUUGCUUUAGCUUGAUUUUGUUGUUUGAUCUGAUUCAGGGCUGAUUUUGUUGGUUGUUUUGAUAUUCGCGAAAAUGGAGGAUCUCGUGGCUUUGUUUGAGCCCAUUGCAUUGUCUCCGUCGGAGUCUUCGAUAAUAUUGCUACUCCUGGUUUUCUCAUGUUUGCUUUAAGCUGGUUUGGUUUUGUUGUCUCUGUUUUUUCUCUCUUUUGACUGUUCUCCUUUCGGCUCUACUAUAGCUCAUAGCAUCUGAAUAUAUUUUACUCGUAUUCUUGCAAUGCAAAGGAAAAGAGGCAAUAGAUUCUAAGAAGCAAAUGUGAUUUGGUAUGUUAACCUAUAUUGGCAUAUUGUAUUGGGCUACAUAGCUUAGCUGGGUCAAAGCUGAUGUGAUUGGUUCCAUCUUUUUCCUCUCCUUGCUUUUAGUCGUGGGGCUUGGGUUUUUGAGGAUGGGAAUGAAUGGGGCAAUCAAGAGUCCAAAACCCCUCUUUUGUCUUCUGGUCUUGGGGGUUGCACCAGGUGUUAUUUGCUUUUUUAGAAAAUACCCUGUGGGAGAAUUAUGGCUUCAUUCAAAAUGAUUGAUUAUUUGAAUGCAGUGAUACCUGCUUAGAAUCAUGCAUUUGUGGAAAGUCAUGUGUAUUGUUCUUUGCACGUUGCGGGUGCUGGAAGCACUCCACUUCAUUAUGCUGCUUGUGGUGGAAGUGUGCAGUGUUGUCAGGUAUUUUGUGGUAGCUAAAAGAUAAAUAGCAUCCAAUAUCAUUCUUUAUUUUGUUCAUGUCACUUACAUAAAUGUUUUUUUUGUGGUGGAAGUGUGCAGUUGUGGACAGUGAACCAAUUUGGAACACGUACGUUGCACCUUUGUUUCUUUACUUCUAUUAGAUUUAUCACUGAAAGUGAACUUCAACA